ensembl:lncRNA
CUGGACAGAAUUGCAAAAGAUACCUGUUGUUAAGCAUGAUGUUUUAGGUGCAAAUUCUCCUUUACGUUAUAGUAAGAUGGGAUGGCUACCACAAAUAGAAGUACAUAACCAUUAAUAUGGGUUUAUCCCAUACUCAUGUUAUGGAAAAGAGAUUGUAAGACUCUUUAUGCAAUCCAGACAUCUCAAUUUCCAUCUAUAACACACAGUGAUAAUGAUUAUGUUGAAAAAUUGUUUUAAGCCUUUACUGAUAGCUGUGAAAGUAGAGUUUGUGAUAAUAUACUGCUCAGUAAAGUGCUUUUGUGUGCAGAACUAUGGGUAAGUCAUGUUUUGCAGUGUCCCAUCGAACUGCUUUUAACCUCCAGCUGUAAAUCCAAAUAACAGUGUCUGGCUGGGAGACUGGGGAAUGCAGUUUGUCCAGUUCUGCUGUCAUAUAAGCUCCAUAUUCAGCACAGAUUCAGCUGCAUUAUCAGUGCCUCCUCUCUGCUGUUGACAAUGAAGUGCUGCACAGUCAGGAAAAAGAAUGUCAAGAGCUUUUUUGGCCAUCUUGUUGAGAUGAUGUUCAGCCAGAAAAUAGAGGACAAAAAGACUGCUCAAGGCCAUUGAAAACAUAAAAAUCGGGAAAAAAAAAUUAAAUUAGUUGACAAGAGCUGAAGAAGUUUCUGACGAGAAGUUGCUACGACAAAAGAUUUUCUCCAAAAUAUACAGGAUGCCAUGGAGACUGACUGAAAAAAAGCUCUUAAUCCCUGCUUUGCUGGUGCUGACAGGAGAAUAGAUCUCUAGACACAUAGCAUAUUUGGAAUUGCUAAUCAGACAAGGAAGGGAAAUUCUCCUUAACAAGUGUCAGGCCCAGUGGAGCUUCUGCUGUGCAUGAUCCAAACUAACUCCAGGAAGAGCAUCUGUCCUUGCUCUCUUCCUGUAGGGAUGAGGAGGCUCCUGUGCUGGGGCCAGCCCUGGUAAGAAAAAGGGAGGAUGUUGCUGGCAUCCUAAGUAGUGGUCUCAUCAAUGCUACAGUGCACUCAGCAGGACCCAAACUGAUGUCUGAUGAUGUCUGUGCUUUGUCGGUGUCCUAAAUGAUUCAGGGGACACUGCACUAUUGUGUCACUCAAGCUUGUUCAUAAUUUAGGAUAACUUGGUUCCUACAAUCACAGCAAUAGAGACACAAUUGAAUUAAUCUAUUUAUGCUGCAUAACUUGGCACCUCUGAAACUGUUGCUGAAUGAUUUCGUAUUCCUUGUAGAGAUCCAAUAAAAUCUGUAGAAAAGAGCAAUAAACACUAGCAACAGAUCAUUUCAGUUUUAGUGUAGUAUAUUUCUUUGUGACUGUAAGAAGGAUAACGUGCAUGAAAAAAAUAAAUGACCCUUCUCCUUGACUGCGAAGUGUUGCUGAUUUUUCUUACUGUCCUUCUAAGUAAGAAACUUCAGUUUCUCUUCCAGGAGGGCUAAAUUGAUGGUAAUGUUGACAGACAAAAAGAAAAUCAAUUACAUUUUCAACACAGAUAUUAAUUUAGAGGUGGUCUGUGGACUAAUGUUACAAGGAAUUUUACUUUAAAAUUACAUUAUGACUGACUAACAUUAAUCUGUUUCAUUUGUAAGGUAUGCAUACUAAAUAACUGAUAUAAAUAGUUGUUCCUAUUGAAAAAACACUCAACUACCAAUAAAAUUCAAGUAUAAAACCGAUGAGACAGCUUUUUAGGCACCACCCCAAUUACUCCAGGAGUUCACAAAGCAACAUCUGCAGUCAUUAAAUAGUAUCUAUUUACUGUGGAAUUUACUGAUUAGAGCAAUUAAUCUCUUAAAACAUUUGCUUUGACUCCCUUAGAGCACACAUCUCUCUCAGGCUAUUGAAGCAUUUCUCUGGCUGCAUAUUCUAAGUCAAGAAGAUACCCACUGAUUCAGUAGACUUUGGAUUAGUUCCUUGGCUGUUGUUCAAUACAGCAUGGAAAACUUUUCCCUAUCUGUCAUGUGCUAAGUAUGGAAUACGAUCACACAAUCUCUAUGCAGUGUUCAUACUGCUUCUUACAUCUUGAUAGAAUCCAGAGUAACAGACAGCUCAGCUGUGCUACAUAAUGGAAAAGAAUGAAUAAAACAAGUAGAUCAGGGUCUGUACAAUAUAAUGCAGAAGUACCAUUGCAAGGAGCCAGCCAAUGUUACAAAUCCUGUUUCAGUGCUGGGCUUGCAAGACUCAGGCUAUUCUCCAGAAUUCUUGAUUGUGAACUUUAACUCAUGCACAGAUAAAACUUGGAUCCAUUGAGCCUAUUACUCAAAGCUCUGUGGGAAAGUAGGUGUACAUCUGGGUCUGUUCCAGCCCUGGAAGCAGUACAGCUGUAUUAACAAUGUGCUUCGUGUAUCACUAAAUGCUCUGCUGGACUUGAUGUUUUGUAUCCCUAGCACGGAUGAUCAACAGAGCACAUUACCUGCUUAAGGAUAAAUGAGAGUUGGCUGCAUUUGCCAAAUGUGAAUCAGUGUUUCUGUUAGAUGUAGUGUGUAAACUUGAAGUUAUAUACAGUUCUUUUAGACCACCAGUUCCAUAGGAUUCUUAUUAUCUUUUUGAUUGUUAAUAAUAAUAAAAAAAAGAAUGUUGGCGAGAAAAACAACUGUGGGCUAAUCACAUAUCAAAAAAUGUUAUUAAAAAUAAAUUAUAUCUCAAAGUUUUUAAUAGGCUUUUGCUGUAAUAUAAUUGCAUACUAAAAACAAAUUGAAAAUUGGUAUUUUAUCACAGAAUCAUAGAAUAUCUUGGGUUGGAAAGAACCUUAAAGUCUACCUAGUUCCAACAUCUGCUUUGGGCAUGGCUGCCACCCCCCAGCUCAGAUGCCCAGGCCCCAUCUAACUUGGUUUCCAAUACCUCCAGGGAUGGGGCACUCACAAUUUCUCUGGGCAGUUGUGCCAGUGCCUCACCACCCUCUGAGAAAAAAGAAAUCCUGAUGUGUAAUCUAAAUCUCCUACCUUUUAGUUUGAAAACAUUACCCCAAGUGAUGAUUAAAGUAUUGUAUUAAAUGCUUUCUUACAUUGCUAUAAGAGGGCCUGAACCUUGGAGAUUAAAGGGAAGAAAAAGAAAAAGCCAGUGUAAGAUGUAGUAAGUAAGAAUAAGAGUAAAUAUAUGAAAUGUAUUGGAGCAGGUCCGGAGGAGGACCAUGAAGAUGAUCAGAGGGCUGGAACAUCUCCCACAUGAGGACAGCCUGAGAGAGCUGGGGUGCUUCAGUAUGGAGAAGGCUCUGAGGAGACCUUAUAGUGGCCUUCCAGUACCUGAAGUAUGCUUACAGGAAAGCUGGGGAGGGACUUUUUGUAAGAGCUACAGGAUGAGGGGAAAUGGUUUUAAACUGAAAGAGGGUAGAUUUAGAUUAGAUAUUAUGAAGAAAUUCUUAACUGUGAGGGUGGUGAGACACUGGAACAGGUUGCCCAGUGAGGUUGUGAAUGACCCUUCCCUGGACGCAUUCAAGGCCAGGCUGGAUGGGGCUGUGAACAACCUGGUGUAGAGGGACAUAUCCCUGCCUACAGCAGGGGGAUUGGAACUAGGUGAUCUUAAAGGUCCCUUCCAACCCAAACCAUUCUAUGAUUCAUUCUAUGAUUCUAUUCUAUGAAAUUAAUUAGUUAAUAAUAAUAGUUCUGUAUUGUAAUUGAAAGCCUUAAAAAAAAGUAUAUUCUUACAUAUGAUCAAAGUAUAUCACAAAGAAACAGAAAAAAAAAAAAGCUAAAGAAAGGUCAAUGUCAGUUGAAGUUAUUCAGAACAGUAUAUCAGUGGAUAUAUAUAUCAUGGAUCCAUUUAAUCAUGUUGAUCUGUUGAACUGCAGGUAUGCAGAUUCAAAUAAGAUAAUUCUGAGAUUCAGAAUUAUAUUUACAGUUCAUUUUAAAAUGCUGGCCCAAGGAAAAUUAUUGUUGUCUGGCAAAGUAUCUCUUAGUCUGUUAUUCUGCUUUGUACAAAUGUAUUUAAAACAAAUGUAUGUAUGUCGAAGGACAUUUGAAAGACAGGGAUUUUUAGUAGAAAUUUUGUGUGAGUCUUCUGAAUCUACUCAGAAAUUUAAAAUAUCAGGAGCUUUACAGGAUUUACCUUCCCAAGGAUUGACAAACAGGCUGAUUCGGUAAGAUGAAACAGUAAUUAAGUACUUUCAUAUAUUCAGUUCCAGACGGGUUAGUAACACAUUCCAAGCUGAUAUGAAUGGCACAAUUUGUCCUCUGGAAUUGCAUCUUUCUCUCCACUAAGAAUGAAGUGAAGGCCAGAGAGGUGAAGCUCCAUUCCUAUAACCAGGCUUGCACAUCUUUACACUCUGUAAGUCUGGCUCAGCUACAGAUACUUAUGCACACGAAUAACCUUUUCACAUCAAUAUCCUCCUGAAGACCACAGAGUAACAGUUAACUGAAGAAAAGAAUGUGUAUACAUCUCUAGGGUCAUACCUCAUUCUGUGUCUCUAUUUUUGAAUAUGUUUCCAAUUCAGAGGUCACUGUUAAAAAUUCUUGCACAUCAUAAGGCUUAUGUUCAGGAAAGAGGGUGUCAUCAAUGACUGUGUAUCUCAGGGCAUUAUGUCCUUUCUAAGGAAACAGAAAACUGUGGUGAGUAGCAGCGAAGAAAUUGUCUAGUAUAAAACUGAAACUGAAAUUUAUUUUCAAAGUGGAGAAAAGGGGGUGCCAAGAAGGAACACUUGCCUGAUCCAAACACACUGGCAUCUACUUUGGUGUUUUUAGUUCAGACUGUGAAUCCAAAAUAUAAUCCUGUUUUCAUUGACAGUGAAGAUCUUAACCAGCAUAGAUAUUGGCUUGGAUUGCCCAACCAAAAUCCCAGGAGUUGCUCAUUAAUUCAGCAAGCCACAUUUCCUGUAAGAGAGAAUUACCUGAAGAUAGAUUGACAAUGGUGAUCUGUUUCAGUCUCUUUCAUUACUAGAUGCUUUAGCUAUUGUUUUUCCCUGGGACAAUAGUUUUUAUUACUGCUUAUCCAUAUUUCCAGAAAUAUAGCAAAUCAUGUGCAUCUUGAAAUAAAAUGGAAGCAUGAAAAUGAUACUAAAAAUCAUUCAAAAGUCAUUGAAAAUAAAAUAUUUGUUUGUUUCAGACUUAGAAAAUAUACAGCCAGACAAUAUAAAUUAGGUAAUUUCCUUACCUGUUUCACUCUAACCUAGACAGGUUCAACAAGUUCAGAAACACUGGUGAAAAGGCAAGAUAAGAGGUAGGUAGUCUGGGCUAGCUUGUGUAUGUAUAUUCAUGAGGUGGGAUGACUGUCAGUGAGAUAUUGGUGGGAGUACUGGGUCACUUGCCUGGGUUUUGGAAUGAAAUAUCCAAAGAAAAACCAUCUUGUGUGAUCUUGAAAAUCAAUUCAUUAACAGGAAAGCUGUGUCACAUGGAGUAGUGCAUAUUAUUUCUAUUUGUAAAUAUUUUCAACAUGUGAAAAUGACAAAGAAGGCCACACAAAUACUGUAAAAAAAGAUAGAAAUAACAGAUCCAGUACUUAUUUAGGAAAGUAAACAAAACAAAACAAAUAAACAUUUCUUUUCUCUUUUGUUUGGUGACACUCCGGCUGCAAAAAUUAGAGUUAUGGCUCUUCUAACUUCCCAGUACAAAAGAAAUACUGUUCUUUGUUCUGUCCUAAUGCCUAGGUUUUCAUGGGUUGGGUUUUCAUGGGUUGGGUUUUCAUGACUCAUUUCUCCUUUACUGCAUCUGGGUGCUGGUACCUGGAGAAAUGAAUAAGAAUGGGUAGAACAUACCCGUCUUGGUUAUCCUGCAAAUCUGAAAGUGUUUUGAUAUUCUGGUCCACACUGAUGGCAUGAGUAGUUUUUCUCUUUUAUCUCUGUCAAGAAUUUUUAGAUUUGAGAUAUCUGCUUUACAAUUCAGGUGGAGCAUGAGAGAGAACCUGGGCUGAAGUUAAAUCUGUCACAUCCAGAACACAGCAUGAAUAAUUUUCCUCUGAUUUACAGUUUGGUGUAACUUGUUAUGAAGAUGUCAGUAGUUUGUCUUUUUCUCCUUUUAAAGUGGUGACACAGUGAAUGACCAGAACAUGCUCUCUGCAUUGAUUAGUAGUAGAAGCUUUAGCAUGACUAGCUCUAAACAGACAUUUGAAAGAUGAGAGUGAAGAAUUUUUUAAAAUGGCACAGUGUGAAAAUUUCACUUGUAGGGUCUUUAUAUGGAGCAAAGAGGUUAUCCACCUAAGGACAAAUAUAAAGUGCAAUGAAAGCUCAAUUUAAAAGCAAGACACCUGCAGCUUGCAGCUCAAUAAACUCUUUUUUUUUCUUUUUUUCUUUUUUUUUUGGGGGGGGGGAGGAAAAUUAAUAGUGAAAGAUUGAGACUAAUUUUCAUGUUUUUAACUUCAAUACUCAAGUAUUAUCUGUUCAUCCAAUGUUUUGCUGCAACCUGUGGUUACUGUGUCUACCAUCCACACUAGACGAUGGGAAGAGGACCUGCACAAUAGGAAAUGUUCUUGCUUAACCCCAGGCAACAGCCCUAACUGAGCAUGAUAAUUCAAAAGAAGGAUUGAUCAAAAUGGGAAACUGCAGACCUCUGGUGACAUUGCAAAUGAGGUGAAGGAAACAGCACAAUUAUUUGUGUAGAUAUGGUGGCAUGGCAUCCCCCUGGAAUUCAGGCUGAGACAGGGAGACUUGGGCAACUCCUAGAAGAGACCAGUAAAGCCAGUUGCAGAACAAACUCUGUCUUCCUUUGUAUCUCAUAUUUUUCACCUGAUUUUAAAUAUGCUUUUCUCUCCACUCCUGCUGUAACGGUAAGCAGGAAUUUAUUCUUAGUUCCUAAAACAGAAGCAGGAAAGCAGUGUUAAUAAUUACUUUUACAAAUCUGUAAUGAGAUAAAAAAAACAAGUGCCUUAACCUAGGUAGAGAAGAAUUAUUUGUGGGGCUUUAGCUUUCUUUCAAUUAAGAACAAAAAUCAGAAGGAAUUCCAGUUAGAAAAAAAUGAACUUAAAAUUUUACUACGAUUGAGAAGACUCAAUAUCACAACAGUAAUACUCAGAUUGCCCAGCCUAGUGUGAAUACAGAAACAUGGGAAUAUAGUUUAUGUCUCAGCUGGAAUCAGCUUGCUCAUAUCUAUGAUACUCAAAAUUGUAUGAACUAUAUGAACAUCACUGUUUUGCUUGAUUCCUGUAAGCACAUCAUGCAACUGAGUUCUGGUGAGGAGGAAGCAAUGCUAUUUGCCUUUAUAUUAUGUGAUUUGGGUGGGAGGGCUGUGUUGUUUCUGUUGUUUUUUCUUGGCAUUUGUGUUGAUAUAAUAUAUAUUCAUCAUUUAUAAUAUGCCAGUAAAAAUCUGUUAAAGAUGCUGUCGUUGAGUUACUCAAGUACAAAAAGCUUGCAGAAAUAGUAUUCUCCAAGUUUACUGUAAUUUUCAAGAAGCUUAUAAAAUGUAUAUACAUUUGAAGGGUUAGUUGAGAAAUUUCCCACUAGUCAUUGCUGCUAUAGUUAUGUUGUAUGAACAAAAGGCAACAUGUUUACUGUCUUUGUUUUGCUUUUUCAGGCUCUGUAAUCUGCAGUGAACCAUGCACUGAAUUUCUGCCUCUGGUGAUGUAAUAUUCCUUUUAUCCAUUAUAAUAUACUCUGCAAAAGACAGAAUACAAAUAGCACAAUGAGAAACAUUUACUCAUACUUUUUACUCCAUUUUCUAAUGUAUUUCUUUUCAGGAUAGGAAAACACAGGCUACCAACUAAUGUAUUUUGUUUCUGAUCUGACAGCGAAGAGUGGUAAAGAGACAAGAGGAAAGGGGUACCUUGUCUGUUUAGUCAGGCAUGUCCACGCUGUGGCUUGCAGGCCACAUUUAGCCCAGCACAGCUCAUGCUGCGGCUGCCCCCUGACUCGUGCCAUCACAGGGUGGCUAUUCUCUGCCUGGCCUGGCCUUCAGCACCAACUGAUCAUCAGUGUGCUCUUAACCCCAUCUGGGCUGAAACCAGGGCACAGAGGGCAGUGCAGUACCAGCUCAGGUUAUUGAAAAUAAGUUUAUGGAUUUUGAUACACUGGCUAAACAUUAGUCCCCUGAUGACAGUGGUUAACCUCCGCUGGUGCAGAUUAUGAUGAGCACGACAUGCAGGCUUUUGUUCACCUUUGGUGAAAAUGCAUAGUUAAUGGUGGUGACUGUGUUGUUCCAUAAGAAGUUGACCUCCAAUGUCUGCUGAAUCCUCCUCCCCAUACAGCAGUAUGAGACUGAGAGGAAGAAUGCAUGGAGUGAUACCCCAGAUGCAGUGUGGGAGUGUUUGCUGAGCUACACCAGACUACACCAGAAAGAGAGGAAAAUUCUCUUUACACUGGAUAACUUAAAACUGCACUGAUUCCAAGAAACUGCAUUGACUCCAAGAACUGAUGAAGGAACUUGACAAGUAUCAUGUAAACGUCUCCUGGCACAGAGAUAUGACUUGGCCUAAGAGAUACCCUUCAUGACUGUUGUCUAAUACCAACAUGUUUUAAAUGGCAGCCUUAUGUCUAGCAUUGCUUUUGGCCUUUCUCCUCCUCACAUCCUCAUAGCCUUAGCAAUGUCUAGCUGUGGGUAUUCCUCCAACCCCAUAUCAUCCACUCUUUAAAUUGAAUUGGAAGAUUUGGACGCUUUUCUUUCAUUAAAAUGUAAAACAAACAAAAGAAAAAAAUUGAAACAACAACAACAAAACAAACAAACAAACAAAAAAACCAACCCACAAACAAAACCAAAACAAAACAGAACACAGGUUGAACUAUGACAGCACACACGUCAGUGCAACCCAGGCUCAGGUCUUUCUGGCAGAUACCUGGCAAGGAGUGCGCAAGUAUGACAAUGGUGCAGUGGUAUUCUGCUGUAACACCAUCCUGCCCUUGUGCUGUGCUCUGUAAGGGAUGUAGGCUUUGUGACUGCUUGGCUCAGUGCACAGACAGUGUUUCAUGAUCUUGAAAGUUUUACCAAAUUAACAAUCUUUACUGAAGCAUAGAUGUAGCGGAGCCUCAUCCAACACUAUGAAUAGGAUAAACAUGCUGGGUUACAUUCAUUUUGCACUUCAUAUUUGUAUAUAAAUCUAAAAUAACUCUGUAAAAACAUGAAAAGUAAGUUUGCACAGUGAAGGCAAAAGGAUGCACUGGUCAGGAUGCGCUCACUUUUUAGGCUUUCAGAUGAGGUAUCUUAAAUAGGAGCUUAAUUCCUCCAGGUGCUCUUCUCAAAGGAAAUACAGAUGUCUUCCACAUAAAGGAUCAGCUUUGUAUAGAAAAGGUCACCGAAGUUACUCCAAUUAUGUUUUCUAAGAAUUAUGGUUUAUCUGUCAUUUGCUACAAAUUGUCUCAUUGUCUUCCUGCCUCUGAACACCUCAACUGCUGAAUUUCUUAAAAAAAUAAAUAAAUAAAAUGAAAUUGCACCCAGAGUUAUUUUCUGGUCCUUUUAUAAAAGACUGAAUGGUAAACGCACAGGUUACAUUUCUGUGUUGUCAUCUUUUGGUCUGACUGUUACUCUCCUAUGAGAACUGAUCUCACUCUCUGGUUAAUAACUAACACUUGUAAG